rnacentral:lncRNA from 1 species
AUGGGAGGCCUCUAAAGCCAGAAAAGGCAAGAGUACAAAUAAUCCUUUACAGCCUUCAGAUAGAAUGCAGCCCUGAUGGCAGCUUGAUUUUAGCUCUUGUCAGAAUUCUGACCUGCUAAAAUGAAAAAACUUCUAGGGGAAUUGGAUGUGAAAAGUGUCCCUGGUCCUAUGAUCACAAAGAUUUGCAGCAAGGUCAAGACACAGAAGUAACAAAUGCUUCCAGCUUCAGCAAAUGGUGCCCCAUCUUCUGCAUGGGAAUACCCAUUAUUCCAAGCCUGUUUUCGGGGAAAGUGAUAGACAAUGGUGGUGCCCAGGGUGCAGGGAACAAAGGGAACUGGACAGAUGGAAAAUACGCAUUGGGGUUAUAAAAUACAAUUCUGCAGAGGUCCUUUUCCUCAGACACAACCUAGAAAAUGGCAAUGAAAAAGAUAAGGAAAAUUAAAGAGAUGAAAUCCAAGAUCAUUAGAAAGCUGUACAUACUGAUACAGACACCCAGGAACCUCAAAAUCACAGGAUACAAAGGGAGAAAAGCAGUAAUCGACCAGCUAGGACUCAGCUAAGCAGGACAGCAGAGUAAAAUGAGGCUCAAGUGCUAACUUCUGGCAGGUAGAUCAGAUAAUCUGAAUUAUUGGUAUGGUGUAUGUGGUAUAGGGUGGAUUGUGUGAUUGAUCGAUUGUUACCUGUAUAAUUCUCCUUUUGGUAAUUACAUUGAGUUUUUUUUUUUAAGUUUUUUUUUUCUCAAUACCACCUCUUAAGGUUUUAAAAACUGUUUCAUAUCUGAUUAAGUAAAAAUUUUCAAUAACUGCAUUGGUAAAUUGCUAAUAAAAAUUAAAUGUAACUUUAAACAGUCAAUAA